UUAAGCGACUAAGCGUACACGGUGGAUGCCCUGGCAGUCAGAGGCGAUGAAGGACGUGCUAAUCUGCGAAAAGCGUCGGUAAGGUGAUAUGAACCGUUAUAACCGGCGAUGUCCGAAUGGGGAAACCCAGUGUGAUUCGUCACACUAUCGUUAACUGAAUACAUAGGUUAACGAGGCGAACCGGGGGAACUGAAACAUCUAAGUACCCCGAGGAAAAGAAAUCAACCGAGAUUCCCCCAGUAGCGGCGAGCGAACGGGGAGCAGCCCAGAGUCUGAAUCAGCUUGUGUGUUAGUGGAACGGUCUGGAAAGUCCGACGGUACAGGGUGAUAGUCCCGUACACCAAAAUGCACAGGUUGUGAACUCGAAGAGUAGGGCGGGACACGUGGUAUCCUGUCUGAAUAUGGGGGGACCAUCCUCCAAGGCUAAAUACUCCUGACUGACCGAUAGUGAACCAGUACCGUGAGGGAAAGGCGAAAAGAACCCCGGCGAGGGGAGUGAAAAAGAACCUGAAACCGUGUACGUACAAGCAGUGGGAGCACCUUCGGGUGUGACUGCGUACCUUUUGUAUAAUGGGUCAGCGACUUAUAUUCUGUAGCAAGGUUAACCGUAUAGGGGAGCCGCAGGGAAACCGAGUCUUAACUGGGCGUUAAGUUGCAGGGUAUAGACCCGAAACCCGGUGAUCUAGCCAUGGGCAGGUUGAAGGUUGGGUAACACUAACUGGAGGACCGAACCGACUAAUGUUGAAAAAUUAGCGGAUGACUUGUGGCUGGGGGUGAAAGGCCAAUCAAACCGGGAGAUAGCUGGUUCUCCCCGAAAGCUAUUUAGGUAGCGCCUCGUGAACUCAUCUUCGGGGGUAGAGCACUGUUUCGGCUAGGGGGUCAUCCCGACUUACCAACCCGAUGCAAACUACGAAUACCGAAGAAUGUUAUCACGGGAGACACACGGCGGGUGCUAACGUCCGUCGUGAAGAGGGAAACAACCCAGACCGCCAGCUAAGGUCCCAAAGUCAUGGUUAAGUGGGAAACGAUGUGGGAAGGCACAGACAGCCAGGAUGUUGGCUUAGAAGCAGCCAUCAUUUAAAGAAAGCGUAAUAGCUCACUGGUCGAGUCGGCCUGCGCGGAAGAUGUAACGGGGCUAAACCAUGCACCGAAGCUGCGGCAGCGACACUAUGUGUUGUUGGGUAGGGGAGCGUUCUGUAAGCCUGCGAAGGUGUGCUGUGAGGCAUGCUGGAGGUAUCAGAAGUGCGAAUGCUGACAUAAGUAACGAUAAAGCGGGUGAAAAGCCCGCUCGCCGGAAGACCAAGGGUUCCUGUCCAACGUUAAUCGGGGCAGGGUGAGUCGACCCCUAAGGCGAGGCCGAAAGGCGUAGUCGAUGGGAAACAGGUUAAUAUUCCUGUACUUGGUGUUACUGCGAAGGGGGGACGGAGAAGGCUAUGUUAGCCGGGCGACGGUUGUCCCGGUUUAAGCAUGUAGGCUGGUUAUCCAGGCAAAUCCGGAUAAUCAAGGCUGAGGUGUGAUGACGAGGCACUACGGUGCUGAAGUAACAAAUGCCCUGCUUCCAGGAAAAGCCUCUAAGCAUCAGGUAACAUCAAAUCGUACCCCAAACCGACACAGGUGGUCAGGUAGAGAAUACCAAGGCGCUUGAGAGAACUCGGGUGAAGGAACUAGGCAAAAUGGUGCCGUAACUUCGGGAGAAGGCACGCUGGUGUGUAGGUGAAGUCCCUGCGGAUGGAGCUGAGACCAGUCGAAGAUACCAGCUGGCUGCAACUGUUUAUUAAAAACACAGCACUGUGCAAACACGAAAGUGGACGUAUACGGUGUGACGCCUGCCCGGUGCCGGAAGGUUAAUUGAUGGGGUUAUCCGUAAGGAGAAGCUCUUGAUCGAAGCCCCGGUAAACGGCGGCCGUAACUAUAACGGUCCUAAGGUAGCGAAAUUCCUUGUCGGGUAAGUUCCGACCUGCACGAAUGGCGUAAUGAUGGCCAGGCUGUCUCCACCCGAGACUCAGUGAAAUUGAACUCGCUGUGAAGAUGCAGUGUACCCGCGGCAAGACGGAAAGACCCCGUGAACCUUUACUAUAGCUUGACACUGAACAUUGAGCCUUGAUGUGUAGGAUAGGUGGGAGGCUUUGAAGCGUGGACGCCAGUCUGCGUGGAGCCAACCUUGAAAUACCACCCUUUAAUGUUUGAUGUUCUAACGUUGGCCCCUGACCGGGGUUGCGGACAGUGUCUGGUGGGUAGUUUGACUGGGGCGGUCUCCUCCCAAAGCGUAACGGAGGAGCACGAAGGUUAGCUAAUCCUGGUCGGACAUCAGGAGGUUAGUGCAAUGGCAUAAGCUAGCUUGACUGCGAGCGUGACGGCGCGAGCAGGUGCGAAAGCAGGUCAUAGUGAUCCGGUGGUUCUGAAUGGAAGGGCCAUCGCUCAACGGAUAAAAGGUACUCCGGGGAUAACAGGCUGAUACCGCCCAAGAGUUCAUAUCGACGGCGGUGUUUGGCACCUCGAUGUCGGCUCAUCACAUCCUGGGGCUGAAGUAGGUCCCAAGGGUAUGGCUGUUCGCCAUUUAAAGUGGUACGCGAGCUGGGUUUAGAACGUCGUGAGACAGUUCGGUCCCUAUCUGCCGUGGGCGCUGGAGAAUUGAGGGGGGCUGCUCCUAGUACGAGAGGACCGGAGUGGACGCAUCACUGGUGUUCGGGUUGUCAUGCCAAUGGCACUGCCCGGUAGCUAAAUGCGGAAGAGAUAAGUGCUGAAAGCAUCUAAGCACGAAACUUGCCCCGAGAUGAGUUCUCCCUGAGACU
rnacentral:rRNA from 1 species